GCGUAUCAAACCUGCCUCAUACUCGGGGAUAGCCUUGCGAAAGUAAGAUUAAUACCCGAUGUUGUUAUGUUUCCGCAUGGUGAUAUAACCAAAGAUUUAUCGGUAUGAGAUGGUGAUGCGUCCGAUUAGGUAGUAGGCGGGGUAACGGCCCACCUAGCCUUCGAUCGGUAGGGGUUCUGAGAGGAAGGUCCCCCACACUGGAACUGAGACACGGUCCAGACUCCUACGGGAGGCAGCAGUGAGGAAUAUUGGUCAAUGGACGGAAGUCUGAACCAGCCAAGUAGCGUGCAGGAUGACGGCCCUCUGGGUUGUAAACUGCUUUUAGUUGGGAAUAAAAAAGAGGACGUGUCCUCUAUUGUAUGUACCUUCAGAGAAAGGACCGGCUAAUUCCGUGCCAGCAGCCGCGGUAAUACGGAAGGUCCAGGCGUUAUCCGGAUUUAUUGGGUUUAAAGGGAGCGUAGGCGGAUUAUUAAGUCAGUGGUGAAAGACGGUGGCUCAACCAUCGUUAGCCAUUGAAACUGGUAGUCUUGAGUGCAGACAGGGAUGCUGGAACUCGUGGUGUAGCGGUGAAAUGCUUAGAUAUCACGAUGAACUCCGAUCGCGAAGGCAGGUGUCCGGGCUGCAACUGACGCUGAGGCUCGAAAGUGUGGGUAUCAAACAGGAUUAGAUACCCUGGUAGUCCACACAGUAAACGAUGUAUACUCGCGGUUUGCG
rnacentral:rRNA from 1 species